rfam:Salmo salar isolate Sally breed double haploid chromosome ssa12, whole genome shotgun sequence.
AUUCUUUCUCAGAGGCGACAUCAUAGCCUAUGAAGUCCAUCUGAGGCGUGAUUAUUGCUGGUUGAAAACUUAACAAUUACAUGCAAUCAAGAAUCCACCAAAGUGUUAAGUAGGGGCUAACUGCUAGACACAUGCAAUCAAG